AUUGAACGCUGGCGGCAGGCUUAACACAUGCAAGUCGAGCGGUAGCACAGGGGAGCUUGCUCCCUGGGUGACGAGCGGCGGACGGGUGAGUAAUGUCUGGGAAACUGCCUGAUGGAGGGGGAUAACUACUGGAAACGGUAGCUAAUACCGCAUAACGUCGCAAGACCAAAGAGGGGGACCUUCGGGCCUCUUGCCAUCAGAUGUGCCCAGAUGGGAUUAGCUAGUAGGUGGGGUAAUGGCUCACCCAGGCGACGAUCCCUAGCUGGUCUGAGAGGAUGACCAGCCACACUGGAACUGAGGAACGGUCCAGACUCCUACGGGAGGCAGCAGUGGGGAAUAUUGCACAAUGGGCGCAAGCCUGAUGCAGCCAUGCCGCGUGUGUGAAGAAGGCCUUCGGGUUGUAAAGCACUUUCAGCGAGGAGGAAGGUGGUGAACUUAAUACGUUCAUCAAUUGACGUUACUCGCAGAAGAAGCACCGGCUAACUCCGUG
rnacentral:rRNA from 1 species